rnacentral:rRNA from 1 species
UGAGGAAUUUUGCACAAUGGGGGCAACCCUGAUGCAGCGACGCCGCGUGCGGGAUGAAGGAGCUUUGCUCUGUAAACCGCUGUCGGAUGGGAAGAAAAGCCCUAUAAAGGGCUGGGACAGUACCAUCAAAGGAAGCACCGGCUAACUACGUGCCAGCAGCCGCGGUAAUACGUAGGGUGCAAGCGUUGUCCGGAUUUACUGGGUGUAAAGGGUGCGCAGGCGGAUCUGUGCGUCGGAGGUUAAAGACCGCGGCUUAA